GACGAACGCUGGCGGCGUGCCUAACACAUGCAAGUCGAGCGGGGUUGAGGCGAGAGGUAACUCGAACUUCUACCUAGCGGCGGACGGGUGAGUAACGCGUGGGCAACCUGCCUCAAGGUUUGGGAUAACAGCCCGAAAGGGCUGCUAAUACCGGGUAUGCUUGUGGCCUCGCAUGGGGCUAUGAGCAAAGGGGAAACCCGCCUUGAGAUGGGCCCGCGUCCCAUCAGCUAGUUGGUGAGGUAACAGCUCACCAAGGCGACGACGGGUAGCCGGCCUGAGAGGGUGACCGGCCACACUGGGACUGAGACACGGCCCAGACUCCUACGGGGGCAGCAGUGGGGGAUCUUGCACAAUGGGCGAAAGCCUGAUGCAGCGACGCCGCGUGAGCGAAGAAGGCCUUCGGGUUGUAAAGCUCUGUCUGGAGGGACGAAGGAAGUGACGGUACCUCCGGAGGAAGCCACGGCUAACUACGUGCCAGCAGCCGCGGUAAGAUCACGUGU
rnacentral:rRNA from 1 species